rnacentral:rRNA from 1 species
UACGAAGGGGGCGAGCGUUAUUCGGAAUUACUGGGCGCAAAGAGCGCGUAGGUGGUUUGUUAAGUUAGAAGUGAAAGCCCAAGGCUCAAACUUGGAACUGCUUUUAAAACUAGCAAGCUAGAGAGUGAUAGAAGAUAGUGGAAUUCCUAGUGUAGAGGUGAAAUUCUUAGAUAUUAGGAGGAACACCGGUGGCGAAAGCGGCUAUCUAGGUCACAUCUGACACUGAGGCGCGAAAGCGUGGGGAGCAAACAGG